AUUGAACGCUGGCGGCAUGCCUUACACAUGCAAGUCGAACGGUAACAGGUCUUCGGAUGCUGACGAGUGGCGAACGGGUGAGUAAUACAUCGGAACGUGCCCGAGAGUGGGGGAUAACGAGGCGAAAGCUUUGCUAAUACCGCAUACGAUCUCAGGAUGAAAGCAGGGGACCGCAAGGCCUUGCGCUCCAGGCGCGGCCGAUGGCAGAUUAGGUAGUUGGUGGGAUAAAAGCUUACCAAGCCGACGAUCUGUAGCUGGUCUGAGAGGACGACCAGCCACACUGGGACUGAGACACGGCCCAGACUCCUACGGGAGGCAGCAGUGGGGAAUUUUGGACAAUGGGCGCAAGCCUGAUCCAGCCAUGCCGCGUGCAGGAUGAAGGCCUUCGGGUUGUAAACUGCUUUUGUACGGAACGAAAAGACUCUGGUUAAUACCUGGGGUCCAUGACGGUACCGUAAGAAUAAGCACCGGCUAACUACGUGCCAGCAGCCGCAGUAAUAC
rnacentral:rRNA from 1 species